GGUGGGAAAAACUGGGAUAAAAGGCAGGAAAAACUGGGAUAAAAGGGGGGAAAAACUGGGAUAAAAGGGGGGAAAAACUGGGAUAAAAGGCGGGAAAAACUGGGAUAAAAGGUGGGAAAAACUGGGAUAAAAGGUGGGAAAAA